rnacentral:rRNA from 1 species
UACGUAGGGUGCAAGCGUUAAUUGGAAUUACUGGGCGUAAAGCGUGCGCAGGCGGUUUUGUAAGUCUGUCGUGAAAGCCCCGGGCUCAACCUGGGAAUUGCGAUGGAGACUGCAAGGCUUGAAUCUGGCAGAGGGGGGUAGAAUUCCACGUGUAGCAGUGAAAUGCGUAGAGAUGUGGAGGAACACCGAUGGCGAAGGCAGCCCCCUGGGUCAAGAUUGACGCUCAUGCACGAAAGCGUGGGGGGCAAACAGG